rnacentral:sRNA from 1 species
UUAAACCCUUAAACCUAAACCCUAAACCCUAGAUCCCAAACUUUAAAACCUAAAUCCUACUUUAGGCUUCCGGAAUCCAGUUGCGGUUCUAGUUCUUAUGCUCAAUGAUACACAAAGCAUCUAGUCAUAUUUGACUACAAAUCCGGUAGCAAAGCUUCUUCUUUAUUCCCAAAGCUUUGAUGGUGAAGACGAAAUUCUUAUGAGUUUUUGGUGUUUUGAAUCGUUUAACAAGGAAGCACUACUUUACUUUUUGAGAUCUGGUUGA